rnacentral:rRNA from 1 species
GACGAACGCUGGCGGCGUGCUUAACACAUGCAAGUCGAGCGGUAAGGCCCUUUCGGGGUACGACGAGCGGCGAACGGGUGAGUAACACGUGGGUGACCUGCCCUCAGCUCUGGGAUAAGCCUGGGAAACUGGGUCUAAUACCGGAUAUGACUCCAUGACACAUGUUGUGGGGUGGAAAGCCUUGUGCGGCUGAGGAUGGGCCCGCGGCCUAUCAGCUUGUUGGUGGGGUGAUGGCCUACCAAGGCGACGACGGGUAGCCGGCCUGAGAGGGCGACCGGCCACACUGGGACUGAGACACGGCCCAGACUCCUACGGGAGGCAGCAGUGGGGAAUCUUGCGCAAUGGGCGAAAGCCUGACGCAGCGACGCCGCGUGAGGGAUGACGGCCU